rnacentral:rRNA from 1 species
GACGAACGCUGGCGGCGUGCUUAACACAUGCAAGUCGAACGGAAAGGCCCUGCUUUUGUGGGGUGCUCGAGUGGCGAACGGGUGAGUAACACGUGAGUAACCUGCCCUUGACUUUGGGAUAACUUCAGGAAACUGGGGCUAAUACCGGAUAGGAGCUCCUGCUGCAUGGUGGGGGUUGGAAAGUUUCGGCGGUUGGGGAUGGACUCGCGGCUUAUCAGCUUGUUGGUGGGGUAGUGGCUUACCAAGGCUUUGACGGGUAGCCGGCCUGAGAGGGUGACCGGCCACAUUGGGACUGAGGUACGGCCCAGACUCCUACGGGAGGCAGCAGUGGGGAAUAUUGCACAAUGGGCGGAAGCCGGAUGCAGCAACGCCGCGUGCGGGAUGACGGCCUUCGGGUUGUAAACCGCUUUCGCCUGUGACGAAGCGUGAGUGACGGUAAUGGGUAAAGAAGCACCGGCUAACUACGUG